AAUAUGAGUAUGCAUACGUGCAACAUAGUGAAAUGGAUGACUAUUCAUAUUCGAAUCAGAUAAAGAGAAGCUGAAGUUAUAUUCAAAAGGUAAGCUUUGAUACAUUCGUUACAUUUAUUAAAAAAAAAAAUUGCAAUAUUCCUAAAAUUCAUUUCAUAAAUUUAGAUGAAAUUGUAAGUUUAUCAAUUUCUCUUGAAAGAAAAUUUCACAAUGUGAAUUAGCGUUAAAGUCAAAUUAGUCUUAUAACCUCUUAAUAAAUACUCAAUCUUUACAUAAUUUAGAAGAUAGGGAAUAUUUCAUAUAGUAUCUAUAUAGAAUUAUGCAGCAUUCCUUAUAUUCCUUAUAUAUACUGUGACUAAUAAAUUAUUCAACUCGGACGAAACAUUCCAUAGAUAGGAAUAAUUUAUCAUUGAGAUAAUCUUGCAAUUUAUCCACGGAAGUAUUGCAAAUUCAUUAAGCUCAUAUCCCUUUCUUCAUUCUGAAUUAUUAUCAAAUAAUUUAAAUUGGUGUAUUACUACAACACAAUAGCGAUAAUUUGAAUAUCAAUCUAUGCAAUAGAAAAUCUAACAUUACAUUCAACUCUCGUGAUCUAAUUUAAAUUCCUUGAAAUAUUCUGAACUGAAAAAUUUCCCAUAUAAAAUGACACGCGAUCUGAGAUCACUAUCACUUCAAGUGCAAUAUUUAUUCCUAUUUUGCAUACUGUCCAAGAUAUCAAUUGAUCGAGCAGGUAUAGUUAAACUAUUACUUUGGAUUUUUAUCAGGUAAUAUAGCGUGAAGUAGACCGACUUUUCUUUCUUUCAAGUAUGUCAACAAUAUUUUGCUGAAUUAAAAUUCAAAUUAUUAAUGAAAUAUAUAUUUUAUUAUUGGCAAUUUCUAGGUUAAAGAGAAUGUCUAGGGAUAUGCCAGGAAACCAGAUAAAUUAUGCAAUUCAAACGAUGUUCGAAGUUGACGAAAAAGAGAUCCACGUAUUCGGAAAUGAAUGGCGCGUUCGAAUUGCGAGUGUAACUGCGUCGAGGACAAAAUGAAAGAUGCUUCCGUGAUAAUUUCCGAUCGUGACGUUUCGCAUCGUCAAAACUGCGAUAGCGUACUUUAUUAUCGUGGAAUCAACACGGGUCACUCGGUUGAAAAUUCUCCAACAUAUGUGUCCAGGGAAAAAAGAGAUAAGCGAAAAUAUAUAGCAAUGGAAAUUCGAACAAGAGACGAAUCAGUAUCAUGGAACGUUGCAGAAUUUUGACUUUAAUACAUCGAAUAAAGAAUUUUGCUUUACAUAUAGAGGAAUCAAUUUCCAUGAGAAUAGCGGUUGAUCAUUCUUGAUUUAGGUAUAUAAUAAAUAUAUUUAAUAUUCUUAUGAUAACUGAUAGUUGAAGAACCCAACAUCAUCAUGGUCAUCAAUCAAGGUAUCGUACAAAUUUAAAUAUAUAAUCAAUAUAUCAAAAAUCAUUCUAAAACAAAAUAAUAGGCGUUAAUCGCUUAUACGAUUCAAUUUCUAAAGGUUUAAACUCGCCGUCUGGAACAACUAUAAUAGAAUGACUAGUAAAACCGGAAACCGAAGUAACGAGACAGAAAAAACAGGAAACAUAAUGCAGCAUCAUUAAAAAGCAUCAAGUAGAAACUAUUCUCUGCAACAGGAAAUUAACGAGAAACGAUAAGAACAAUCGUUUUACUGUCAUAUAGCAGACGAUAAAAAGGGAAGGAGGGGAAGAUUAAAAGGGGAGCAUAAACGUCGCAUUCAUGCGAUCGAUAGGCUUCGAUGCCACGUUCCAUCCUGCAUGUACUUUGUUUUCGUAAUGAAUUAUUUAAAGGGUUGCGGUACUUCGCGGCAACUUUGAAAAAGGAAGGACACGCGUGCCUAAAGAGAGAGAGAAAGAGAAAGAGUGAUCGAAAAAAUUAGAGAAAAAAAAAAGAAAGGAAGAAUAAUGGAAAACAAAAAUUAUGAAUAAUACAUAAGAAACCGAGAGUAUUUUGAUACUUAUGCAGGUGGCGGAGUUGUGGGCGGAUCAAAGAUGGAUUUUUACGAUACACCCGAACGAAGAAGCAAACGGAAAUAAAACGGCACGGUCAGGAACGAUAUACAGGUUUUAAGAGGAGGUGGAAACGUGUAUACUUUCGAACAGUGUCUGCCUUCCUUUUAGUCGAAGGUUUUACGAUGACGUUUAUUCACGGCGUUCAUCUCGCGAAACGCGCGCCAUCGGGGAUAAAAAUAACUUCGUAAGAUGUGAAACCUUGGUGAUAACAUUUUUACGAUUUUCGCAAUUUCCGAGUUGGGAAAGAGAUGGCGUCCAGCGUGACCAAGGGGCAAAUGGAAUAUCCGUAUCCCUGCUCAUGAUAUUUUAUGCAAUCAUAUAAAUGUAUGCAUGUCCAAAAGUACUAUUUCAAAAUUUCAAUUUCGAAACAAAUUUCAAAGAAUAUCUAAAUAUAUGUAUUUUGGAAUAUUUGUUACAUUCGAUAUUCGAGUAAAAAUGUUGGUGAAGAUCAAAGAUAAAAAAUUGAUGAAUCGUGAUAAAUCGUGAUAGUAAUUAUUGCAAGGAAUUUAUUUCCAUUAGAAAAUAGUCUAGUAAAUAUUUACUUUAGGAUAGAAAUUUUUUAUCAGCCUUGUGUUUUUUACGAGCCUUUCUCGAUUGAAAUUCGUAGGGUUAAGUUAAACUUUGUUCGAGCAAUAGUUCGUGAAGUUUAAAGCUUAGUUUACUGACGUUGAGCCAAAGUAGACAAUUAAUCAAAGUAUAUAUUUAAUAAUUUCAAACUCUUAUAUACUAGCCUUUUAUAAAAGUUGCAUAAUGACGUUGGAAGUUAUGUAAUCACAUUUACCAACAAGUUUCAAGAUUACAUAUUACUAUUAAUUACUUUGUCCAAAGUAAUUGUUACAUUCUAUCGUAUUAUAAUAAAACAAUAAUUAAUUAUAAUUUCUUUUCUUAUAAACAAACAAGAAUUUUGUUAAAACAAAAGUAGUCGCUCUAUCUUCGUUACACCAUCUUAUUUUUGUCACGUUUUAUUUUCACCACCGAUUUAAAUUACUUAUAACUUAAUAAAUAAGCUUCAAUCGAUA